GCAGGCUGCAACUCGCCUGCGUGAAGUCGGAAUUGCUAGUAAUCGCGGAUCAGCAUGCCGCGGUGAAUACGUUCCCGGGCCUUGUACACACCGCCCGUCACACCAUGAGAGCUGGGAACACCCGAAGCCCGUAGCCUAACCUGCAAAGGAGGGCGCGGUCGAAGGUGGGCUUAGUAAUUGGGGGUGAAGUCGUAACAAGGUAAC
rnacentral:rRNA from 1 species